CGGUGGUGCUGGCUGAGUAGAUCUGGAAGGUGAGCGAGCUGGAGACUCUGGAAGCUUCAAUUGAAGCUGCGUUCGAAGCUAUGAAAUCUCGUGAAACUGAGUCAUUGAGCUGAGGCAAUCCUACUUGGUUUCCAACAUUAUCUAGUGAUGCUUGGCACAACUAUUCUGAUUCCUAGCUCUCUAAUUCCACAGAUGGGAGGAGAAAAUGAAAGAUUCAUGAA